GUGGGGAAUUUUGGACAAUGGGCGCAAGCCUGAUCCAGCAAUGCCGCGUGCAGGAUGAAGGCCUUCGGGUUGUAAACUGCUUUUGUACGGAACGAAAAGCCCUGGGUUAAUACCCUGGGGUCAUGACGGUACCGUAAGAAUAAGCACCGGCUAACUACGUGCCAGCAGCCGCGGUAAUACGUAGGGUGCGAGCGUUAAUCGGAAUUACUGUGCGUAAAGCGUGCGCAGGCGGUUUUGUAAGACAGAGGUGAAAUCCCCGGGCUCAACCUGGGAACUGCCUUUGUGACUGCAAGGCUAGAGUACGGCAGAGGGGGAUGGAAUUCCGCGUGUAGCAGUGAAAUGCGUAGAUAUGCGGAGGAACACCGAUGGCGAAGGCAAUCCCCUGGGCCUGUACUGACGCUCAUGCACGAAAGCGUGGGGAGCAAACAGGAUUAGAAACCCUGGUAGUCC
rnacentral:rRNA from 1 species